rnacentral:rRNA from 1 species
ACGGGAGGCAGCAGUGGGGAAUAUUGGGCAAUGGGGGAAACCCUGAUGCAGCGACGCCGCGUGAGUGAAGAAGUAUUUCGGUAUGUAAAGCUCUAUCAGCAAGGAAGAUAAUGACGGUACUUGACUAAGAAGCCCCGGCUAACUACGUGCCAGCAGCCGCGGUAAUACGUAGGGGGCAAGCGUUAUCCGGAUUUACUGGGUGUAAAGGGUGUGUAGGCGGGGGAGCAAGUCAGAUGUGAAAUCCAUGGGCUCAACUCAUGGACUGCGUCUGAAACUGUUCUUCUUGAGUGUCGGAGGGGUAAUCGGAAUUCCUGGUGUAGCGGUGAAAUGCGUAGAUAUCAGGAGGAACACCGGUGGCGAAGGCGGAUUACUGGACGACAACUGACGCUGAGACACGAAAGCGUGGGGAGCAAACAGGAUUAGAUACCCUGGUA